UCUUGUUCACCGCUUGUAAUGGCCAGCCACUGGCAUGUUACAUACGUUGUUAAAUAUGGUAUGUGCUAUUAUAGGUGUAAGUGUUGGCACUGUUCUGCUAUUGGAUCUUCGUAUAUCAAUUGCCAUGUGCCUGUUGCAGUACUUAUACUAUGGCAUGACUGGCACCAUACCCUUGGUUGAGAUCUAGUUUCUAGUGACUGGAUUUAUCUUCCUGGUACCUAAAGAGCUCUAGACACUGAGACAAACAUCCACAUUCAUUUAGUCUUUCUUCUGUAAAACACAGACUGCUUGCUUAAUACUGCAAAAGAACUUUAGAUAUUAUGAACCCUCAAUUCCUUUUUCUUUUUUUUGUUCUUUUUUAGGGUCUUCAUCAACCUGUUUCUUACAUAUCUUAAUAUUAUGUAGGUAGAAGUAGUGAAAUCCCUCAAUGAUUCAGAUGGACCUCAGUGGAAGCAUUCUCUAUUUGGAAAUCCAAGUGAACCUGAAACUUUUAGGAGAAGGUGCUUAAUCGCUGAGGCACUUGCUGAAAAGCAUUUUGACUUGGCUUUCCAAGUUAUUUAUGAAUUUAACCUCCCAGCUGUUGACAUCUAUGCUGGUGUGGCAGCAUCCCUUGCAGAGAGAAAAAAGGGCGGUCAAUUAACAGAGCUCUUGAAGAAUAUAAAGGGCACAAUAGAUGAAGAUGAUUGGGACCAGGUAAAGAAUAAAGAUUUUUU